rnacentral:piRNA from 1 species
UCUGAAUUUUAGUUCGAGUUGUAAAACAAG